AUGACCAGAGAUGAUCCUGCAGGGAGCUCACCCGAGGAUCUGGGUCAGCGUGGGCUUAGCUUUCGUAACCUGGCUCUGCGCUUGGAGGCUUUGAAUACUCAGGUACAGAGGCUGAGCAGAGAGAAAGAUGGCUCCAAGCUGACCAGAAAUGAUCUCACUUUGCUGCUGCAGAGCUUCAGACAGGACCAGCAAGGUUUGGCUCGCUUAGUAGAAAGAGAGCUGAAAAGAGUAUCGCAGAGGCUUGAUCAGCUCAGCCGUCACCACCAACACCACCAUCAGGCUGAAGCUCCAACACCACUUGAUAACCGUAGAUCACACACAGGUGAAGUCCUGGCUUUUAUCACUUCCAAUAUUUCUUAAAUGACUUAAGAUGGUUAACAUUGUGUUUACAAUGAUCAACCUUCUCUUUUCUUUGACGGAAACUAAAACGAUGAUACAGGAAUAGACUUACCAUAUGUGCUCACUUUUUUCUUGACUUCAAGAGACAGUUUUGUAUUUCAUUGUUCAGUUUGGAUUUGUUAUUUCCUGUGGGUGGAAAUUGUAAACUUGCAUGCAAUGGUUUGGGCACCCGUGAGCAAAUAAUAUUUGCUUUAGUGGUAAUUAUUGAAGUAAAAAUAAAGGGAAUACAACCCCUACAAUAACAAACAGACAUUAAAAAUAAAUCUUUCUUCAAAU
rnacentral:lncRNA from 1 species